UUAGAGUUUGAUCCAUGGCUCAGAUUGAACGCUGGCGGCAGGCCUAACACAUGCAAGUCGAGCGGUAACAUGCCUUCGGGUGAUGACGAGCGGCGGACGGGUGAGUAAUGCUUGGGGAUCUCCCCGAUGGCGGGGGACAACCACUGGAAACGGUGGCUAAUACCGCAUAAUGUCUACGGACCAAAGUGUGGGACCUUCGGGCCACACGCCAUCGGAUGAACCCAAGUGAGAUUAGCUAGUUGGUGGGGUAAAGGCUCACCAAGGCGACGAUCUCUAGCUGGUUUGAGAGGAUGAUCAGCCACACUGGGACUGAGACACGGCCCAGACUCCUACGGGAGGCAGCAGUGGGGAAUAUUGGACAAUGGGGGCAACCCUGAUCCAGCCAUGCCGCGUGUGUGAAGAAGGCCUUCGGGUUGUAAAGCACUUUCAGCGAGGAGGAAGGGGGUAGUGUUAAUAGCACUAUUUCUUGACGUACUCGCAGAAGAAGCCCCG
rnacentral:rRNA from 1 species